UACGUAGGGGGCAAGCGUUGUCCGGAUUCAUUGGGCGUAAAGAGCGUGUAGGCGGCCAGAUAGGUCGGUUGUGAAAACUGGAGGCUCAACCUUCAGACGUCGACCGAAACCAUCUGGCUAGAGUCCGGGAGAGGAGAGUGGAAUUCCUGGUGUAGCGGUGAAAUGCGCAGAUAUCAGGAAGAACACCCGUGGCGAAAGCGGCUCUCUGGAACGGUACUGACGCUGAGACGCGAAAGCGUGGGGAGCGAACAGG
rnacentral:rRNA from 1 species